rnacentral:rRNA from 1 species
CACGUAGGCACCAAGCGUUGUCCGGAUUUAUUGGGCGUAAAGAGCUCGUAGGCGGUUCGGUAAGUCGGGUGUGAAAUCUCUGGGCUCAACCCCAGAGGGGCCACCCGAUACUGCUGUGACUAGAGUGCGGUAGGGGAGUGGGGAAUUCCUGGUGUAGCGGUGAAAUGCGCAGAUAUCAGGAGGAACACCAGUGGCGAAGGCGCCACUCUGGGGCCGUAACUGACGCUGAGGAGCGAAAGCGUGGGGAGCGAACAGG